GCUGGGCAUGGUGGCAUAUGCCUGUAGUCCCUAAUGGCUCGGGAUGCUGAGGCAGGAGGAUCACUAGUUUAAAGCCAUCCUCAGCAAUUUAGCAAGUCCCUAAGGAACUCAGUGAGACCCUGUCUCUA
rnacentral:sRNA from 1 species